UGGGGGAUAUUGCACAAUGGGGGAAACCCUGAUGCAGCGACGCCGCGUGAGUGAAGAAGUUAUUCGUAAUGUAAAGCUCUAUCAGCAGGGAAGAAAGUGACAGUACCUGACUAAGAAGCCCCGGCUAACUACGUGCCAGCAGCCGCGGUAAUACGUAGGGGGCAAGCGUUAUCCGGAUUUACUGGGUGUAAAGGGAGCGUAGACGGCGAAGCAAGUCUGAAGUGAAAGCCCGCGGCUCAACUGCGGGACUGCUUUGGAAACUGUUUUGCUAGAGUACUGGAGAGGCAAGUGGAAUUCCUAGUGUAGCGGUGAAAUGCGUAGAUAUUAGGAGGAACACCAGUGGCGAAGGCGGCUUGCUGGACAGAGACUGACGUUGAGGCUCGAAAGCGUGGGGAGCAAACAGGAUUAGAUACC
rnacentral:rRNA from 1 species